rnacentral:rRNA from 1 species
UACAGAGGUCCCAAGCGUUGUUCGGAUUCACUGGGCGUAAAGGGUGCGUAGGCGGUCGGGUAAGUCUGAUGUGAAAUCUCACAGCUUAACUGUGAAACUGCAUUGGAUACUAUUCGGCUUGAGAGUUGGAGGGGGGACUGGAAUUCUUGGUGUAGCAGUGAAAUGCGUAGAUAUCAAGAGGAACACCAGUGGCGAAGGCGAGUCCCUGGACAACUUCUGACGCUGAGGAGCGAAAGCUAGGGGAGCAAACGGG